AUUGAACGCUGGCGGCAUGCCUUACACAUGCAAGUCGAACGGUAACAGGUCUUCGGAUGCUGACGAGUGGCGAACGGGUGAGUAAUACAUCGGAACGUGCCUAGUAGUGGGGGAUAACUACUCGAAAGAGUGGCUAAUACCGCAUGAGAUCUACGGAUGAAAGCAGGGGAUCGCAAGACCUUGUGCUACUAGAGCGGCCGAUGGCAGAUUAGGUAGUUGGUGGGAUAAAGGCUUACCAAGCCGACGAUCUGUAGCUGGUCUGAGAGGACGAUCAGCCACACUGGGACUGAGACACGGCCCAGACUCCUACGGGAGGCAGCAGUGGGGAAUUUUGGACAGUGGGCGCAAGCCUGAUCCAGCAAUGCCGCGUGCAGGAUGAAGGCCUUCGGGUUGUAAACUGCUUUUGUACGGAACGAAAAGCCCCGGGUUAAUACCCUGGGGUCAUGACGGUACCGUAAGAAUAAGCACCGGCUAACUACGUGCCAGCCGCCGCCGUAA
rnacentral:rRNA from 1 species